rnacentral:lncRNA from 1 species
AAUUCGCAAAAUUGUACUGAUCGAGAUACGCACUUCCAUAUUUUCUGAAACGGCCCAUUUAAAUCUGGAUCAUCGAAUCAGUAAAAUAUCUAUUUGACCUACUAUUAUAUUUAUGGGAUAAUUGCCUAUAGACCUCUCAUACGUUUGAAAAUAUCUGAUUUACUCCUACUUCUUUUUUUUCUUUCUAAAAUAUCCCUCAUAUGUUCCACCGUUAUUAUAAAAUACCUCCGCAAUUAUCUCCUGUUAAGUUAACUUAGGUUAAACAUGAGUUAAAUAUCUACUACAAUUAAAAAAAAUUAAAAUGACAAUUUUACCCUUAACUUAAGAGCAAAUAAGAAAUAUUGGUGACAGUAAAAGAGUAUAUCGAAAAAGACCAAAAUUCAAAAUACUUUUUGUGCCCCUGACUUUAAGAGCAAAUAAGAAAGUCAGUGAUGGUGGAAGGAUAUAUUUAAAAGGGCAAAAUAAUAAUUUUAGAAAGAUAACAGAGUUCAUUAACAGAUUUUAACUCUAGGAAUAUAUUAGAAAUAGAUUGGAACGUAGAAAGUGUAUUUUCAAUAUUAACCUUUUAAGAGGGGUAAAUCGAAAAGUCGGAAACUUUUCAGGAGUAUAUAAGCAAUUGCCCCUAUAUUUAUAUUAAGAAUG